rnacentral:rRNA from 1 species
AAACUAACAAGGAUUCCCCUAGUAGCGGCGAGCGAAGCGGGAAGAGCUCAAAUUUAUAAUCUGGCACUUUCAGUGUCCGAGUUGUAAUCUCUAGAAGUGUUUUCCGCGUUGGACCGCACACAAGUCUGUUGGAAUACAGCGGCACAGUGGUGACACCCCCGUACACGGUGCGGACGCCCAGCGCUUUGUGAUACACUUUCGAAGAGUCGAGUUGUUUGGGAAUGCAGCUCAAAUUGGGUGGUAAAUUCCAUCUAAAGCUAAAUAUUGGCGAGAGACCGAUAGCGAACAAGUACCGUGAGGGAAAGAUGAAAAGCACUUUGGAAAGAGAGUUAACAGUACGUGAAAUUGUUGGAAGGGAAACGCUUGAAGUCAGACUUGCUUGCCGGAGCUUGCUUCGGUUUGCAGGCCAGCAUCAGUUUUCCGGGGUGGAUAAUGGCGGUUAGAAGGUAGCAGCUUCAGCUGUGUUAUAGCUUUCCGCUGGAUACAUCCUGGGGGACUGAGGAACGCAGCGUGCUUUUAGCGGGGGUUUCGACCUCUUCACGCUUAGGAUGCUGGUGUAAUGGCUUUAAACGACC